GAGGGCACCUACGUGCCACCUGACCCGGCUGCGACCUCAGGUUAAGAAGCAGUGAACUUGGGAGCCGGAGGGGUCCAUUCACUCUGGAAUUCCUCCUUGGUGGCAGCCUUUUCAGCAGCAGCCUACUCUUCCUUUUCCUCUCUUCGGGAGCUCUGUAGAAGGAGAUCACGCAUGACCUCUCCCGAAUGCUCACGGGACAUGGAGCUGCGCAUGCGCAGAACUUCCCUAGCCAGCAACCCCUACUUCACACCUAACUGAGCGAGCUCCCCGGUUGUGGCCCGGGAUGACAAUACCCGCGUAGCACUGAGCAGUGUCUGUGUUACACACUGAGAUGGUGGGCAGGUUAACAUAAGGUGCCCCUGUGCGAAGCUGGCGGUCAGCCGUGGGAUCAGUACUCCCGGAAGACACGACUCCCGGAAGACACGGCUGCCGGAGCUGCCUGGAUCCCAUCAGGGAAGCUUCCAGGAGUGCUGUGGCCAACAGUAGUAGUGGCUCCAAUGACAGCAGCAGUGAACUUCAGCACAACUCACUGGCCAGUAUUCUGGAGGAUGUGACACUGAUGUCAGCCAGAUUUUCAGUGGAGACAAUGGCACAAGAUGCCAACAGAAGCUUCUCCCAGGUUCUCUUCAGAUAUUUGAGCAUAUUUCCAGACCUCUUCAGGGAGAGGGCGUUUGACUCUGCUGAUGGGAACUUUGGCAGUUCUGUUUCUGAAGUUCCACUUCAAGAGGGCUCCUUGCUGUUCCCUGAGCCUUUGCAUCCACCACAUUCUCCACACUGUCUGCAGUUAGGUCUCGAUUCACAUGUCGCCUUUCCCGAUGACCCUAAAACGGCAAGAAUCCUUCCUACUUCGUGUGCCUUCACCAAGCUUCCUGCUCUAUUUCUCCACAUAGCACUUACCUGUCAAAUAUCUCUAUAUAAAUAAAAUAUAUGUAUUUAUAUAUAAUUUAUAAAUAAUAUAUAUAUUUCUGUAGUGUAUGUCAUCUCUCACCAUAAUAAAUUGUAUGAAAAAAAGGACUUUAAUUUCUUUCCUGUUAUCUUUUUGGUGUAUAAAACUUUGCCUGGUGCAGAGCAGGUGCUCAAAACAUUUUGUUAAAUGAAUGAAAUUAUGAACAGAUGUCAAUGAAGGUUCUUAAAUAAAAUAUUAUUGUGUAGAAAAUAAAUGUACACUUUAUAAUGCCUUCACAAUAAGGAAAGCCCCUGUUUACUCAUAUGUUUUACUGAAGGAUUAACACUCAACCUUCAACAAUAAAAAUUCAUGUUGUACAAAAUAAGGUGUGUGUGCUAACAAUAACUUGGAGUUUUUUUGCAUUAGUAAAAAUUAGGCAUUUUUUUCUGAAAAAGAGAAGGCAUCACAACAUUAUUGUUAUUAGUUAUUAGAAGAUAAAUGUUAUUAGAAGAUAAAUACAGAGUGGAAAUGUCUGAGACUUGAAUACUGUUAAACAGCGAUGUGCUCCUUUGUCAGAAUGUAAUUAUUAAUUUAUUUUUUAUAAGGGAUGUAUCUAUGUAAUAGGAAUUUUAGAAAAUACUGGAAACACUAAGAAGAAAAUGUAAAUCGCAUUUUAUUUCAUCAUCAGAGGUAACUGAUGUUAAUUUGAUAUAUACCUAAUAUGUGUUUUAGAUGAGAAUUACAAAGCAUUGGUAUUACAGUUUACGAGUUUUAUGAAACCUGGUAUUGUUCUAUUUAAUAAUAUAUCUAAAUAUCUUCUCAUGUUAUUAAAUGUUACCCUACAUGACAUUUUAAUAGCUUAAUAGUAUUUUACUUUAUGGAUGAAAACUAUUAAUUUAGUGAGUCCCGUAUUGUUGGACAUUUACAUUAUUUAUGAUUUUUCACUGUUACAAACAAUAUUUCAAAGAGCAUCCAUAUAGUAAAGCUUUAUACCUACCCAUGGUUAUCUCCUUAGAAUGAAUUUCUGUAAGUGGAAACUUUAGGUCACAGAAAGUAUGCACUUUUCACUCACUUUAUAUUUACCUCCAAAUUAUUCUCCAGAAAGAGUAUGGCAAAUUUUUCUUCCUACAUCAGUGUACAGAGUAUAAGUAAAUUAAUUUUAUAUAAUGAGGAGGAAAUGUUAUUUUGACAGCUAAGUUCAAAGUUUAUUUUAAAAUAAAAGCUUUUGUUUGGAAAAUCACUUUAAUAUAUGCUUAUGGUAGAAGGUAAGCUUCCCGAGGGCUUACAAGUCAAUAGCUGCUUUGUAUGGGGCAAGGGGAGAAAAAAGGCUUUUUUCAUACUGAGUUGGGUAAGAUGGUGAGAGUUCUGGACCAUUGGAAGGGCCAGUAAAACCCCAUGGAAGUCAGGAGUUUCAAUGGUAUGUGAAUAUCAUUCUUCAGAAAACAAACAAACAAAAAUACUACUGUAAAGUUGUUUGCGUUGUUGUUACAAGUUAUGUAAAGUUAACUCAUGAGAAGCUUGUGUGAAUGGAGUUUUUAGUAGAAGUUGAAGGGAGGUUGAUUAUUAUCUUGGGGUCACUGUGGGGUAGCAUUUGAGUUGAUAAACAGGGAGCUAGGAACCCAGGAAAAGAAGGGAUGAUGAAAGUCAAGUCCUCAAGAAUGUGCCGAAAUCUUGGUGAGAAGCUUGUAUUUCCUAGUUCAUUGGGACAGUGGAGAGACAGCAAUGAUUGAGUGACGUUUGUUAAUUUCCUGGGGGCGUGGAGGCUCCCACCUGACAUCUGACUUAUAUAUUAGUAAACUCUAGAUAUUAGUUUUGAAGACCUUUUAAUGUGAAUAUUAAAGUUGUCACAGCAGGCAAUGUUCAAAGCUAGUUCUGUUAUUGUUGCCAUUAGAUCCAGAAUAGUGAGGCUGGUAGAACCCCUUAAUUCGUGUUUUCUUUUGGUCAUGAUGAGAUAGAUAAAAGUAUACAGUGACUGUAAAGAGAGAUCAGCAUGAAAAAGUGUAAGCCUGGGUUGGGUUGUCAGAUUUGGCAAAUAAAAAUAUUGCAUAUUAAUACCAAAAAAAUGUUCAUUGUUUCUCUGAAAUUCAAAUUUAAUUGGUGUCUUGUAUUUUAUCUGGCAAACUUAAGCUUGAGUUUCUAAUAAGGACGAAGCGACCAUUCAGGAGAUGCG
rnacentral:lncRNA from 1 species